AUACGUAGGUGGCAAGCGUUGUCCGGAAUUAUUGGGCGUAAAGCGCGCGCAGGUGGUUCCUUAAGUCUGAUGUGAAAGCCCCCGGCUCAACCGGGGAGGGUCAUUGGAAACUGGGGAACUUGAGUGCAGAAGAGGAUAGUGGAAUUCCAAGUGUAGCGGUGAAAUGCGUAGAGAUUUGGAGGAACACCAGUGGCGAAGGCGACUGUCGGGUCUGUAACUGACACUGAGGCGCGAAAGCGUGGGGAGCAAACAGGAUUAGAUACCCUGGUAGUCCACGCCGUAAACGAUGAGUGCUAAGUGUUGGGGGGUUUCCGCCUCUCAGUGCUGCAGCUAACGCAUUAAGCACUCCGCCUGGGGAGUACGGUCGCAAGACUGAAACUCAAAUGAAUUGACGGGG
rnacentral:rRNA from 1 species